AUUGAACGCUGGCGGCAGGCCUAACACAUGCAAGUCGAGCGGAUGAAGGGAGCUUGCUCCUGGAUUCAGCGGCGGACGGGUGAGUAAUGCCUAGGAAUCUGCCUGGUAGUGGGGGAUAACGUCCGGAAACGGGCGCUAAUACCGCAUACGUCCUGAGGGAGAAAGUGGGGGAUCUUCGGACCCCACGCUAUCAGAUGAGCCUAGGUCGGAUUAGCUAGUUGGUGGGGUAAAGGCCUACCAAGGCGACGAUCCGUAACUGGUCUGAGAGGAUGAUCAGUCACACUGGAACUGAGACACGGUCCAGACUCCUACGGGAGGCAGCAGUGGGGAAUAUUGGACAAUGGGCGAAAGCCUGAUCCAGCCAUGCCGCGUGUGUGAAGAAGGUCUUCGGAUUGUAAGCACUUUAAGUUGGGAGGAAGGGCAGUAAGUUAAUACCUUGCUGUUUUGACGUUACCAACAGAAUAAGCACCGGCUAACUUCGUG
rnacentral:rRNA from 1 species